AUUGAACGCUGGCGGCAGGCCUAACACAUGCAAGUCGAGCGGCAGCGGGAAAGUAGCUUGCUACUUUUGCCGGCGAGCGGCGGACGGGUGAGUAAUGCCUGGGAAAUUGCCCAGUCGAGGGGGAUAACAGUUGGAAACGACUGCUAAUACCGCAUACGCCCUACGGGGGAAAGCAGGGGACCUUCGGGCCUUGCGCGAUUGGAUAUGCCCAGGUGGGAUUAGCUAGUUGGUGAGGUAAUGGCACACCAAGGCGACGAUCCCUAGCUGGUCUGAGAGGAUGAUCAGCCACACUGGAACGGAGACACGGUCCAGACUCCUACGGGAGGCAGCAGUGGGGAAUAUUGCACAAUGGGGGAAACCCUGAUGCAGCCAUGCCGCGUGUGUGAAGAAGGCCUUCGGGUUGUAAAGCACUUUCAGCGAGGAGGAAAGGUUGAUGCCUAAUACGUAUCAACUGCGACGUUACUCGCAGAAGAAGCACCGGCUAACUCCGUGCCAGCCGCCGCAGUAAUAC
rnacentral:rRNA from 1 species